ACAGAUAAGGAGCUUGCUCCUUUGACGUUAGCGGCGGACGGGUGAGUAACACGUGGAUAACCUACCUAUAAGACUGGGAUAACUUCGGGAAACCGGAGCUAAUACCGGAUAACAUAUUGAACCGCAUGGUUCAAUAGUGAAAGGCGGCUUUGCUGUCACUUAUAGAUGGAUCCGCGCCGUAUUAGCUAGUUGGUAAGGUAACGGCUUACCAAGGCAACGAUACGUAGCCGACCUGAGAGGGUGAUCGGCCACACUGGAACUGAGACACGGUCCAGACUCCUACGGGAGGCAGCAGUAGGGAAUCUUCCGCAAUGGGCGAAAGCCUGACGGAGCAACGCCGCGUGAGUGAUGAAGGUCUUCGGAUCGUAAAACUCUGUUAUCAGGGAAGAACAAAUGUGUAAGUAACUGUGCACAUCUUGACGGUACCUGAUCAGAAAGCCACGGCUAACUACGUGCCAGCAGCCGCGGUAAUACGUAGGUGGCAAGCGUUAUCCGGAAUUAUUGGGCGUAAAGCGCGCGUAGGCGGUUUUUUAAGUCUGAUGUGAAAGCCCACGGCUCAACCGUGGAGGGUCAUUGGAAACUGGAAAACUUGAGUGCAGAAGAGGAAAGUGGAAUUCCAUGUGUAGCGGUGAAAUGCGCAGAGAUAUGGAGGAACACCAGUGGCGAAGGCGACUUUCUGGUCUGUAACUGACGCUGAUGUGCGAAAGCGUGGGGAUCAAACAGGAUUAGAUACCCUGGUAGUCCACGCCGUAAACGAUGAGUGCUAAGUGUUAGGGGGUUUCCGCCCCUUAGUGCUGCAGCUAACGCAUUAAGCACUCCGCCUGGGGAGUACGACCGCAAGGUUGAAACUCAAAGGAAUUGACGGGGACCCGCACAAGCGGUGGAGCAUGUGGUUUAAUUCGAAGCAACGCGAAGAACCUUACCAAAUCUUGACAUCCUUUGACCGCUCUAGAGAUAGAGUCUUCCCCUUCGGGGGACAAAGUGACAGGUGGUGCAUGGUUGUCGUCAGCUCGUGUCGUGAGAUGUUGGGUUAAGUCCCGCAACGAGCGCAACCCUUAAGCUUAGUUGCCAUCAUUAAGUUGGGCACUCUAAGUUGACUGCC
rnacentral:rRNA from 1 species